rnacentral:rRNA from 1 species
GACAGAGGGUGCAACCGUUGUUCGGAAUUACUGGGCGUAAAGCGCGUGUAGGCGGCUUGGCAAGUCGGGUGUGAAAGCCCUGGGCUCAACCUAGGAAGUGCACUCGAAACUGCCUCGCUUGAAUGCCGGAGAGGAAAGCGGAAUUCUCGGUGUAGAGGUGAAAUUCGUAGAUAUCGAGAGGAACACCGGUGGCGAAGGCGGCUUUCUGGACGGUGAUUGACGCUGAGACGCGAAAGCGUGGGGAGCAAACAGG